UUAACCAAAAUAUGCCACAAGACCUAGAAUUGCCUUAUGUGUAUCCCACAAAAAAAGGUUCACUGUUAUAAGCUAACCUUUUUUAUGAAUUUAAGCAACAUUUCCAGGCUUAAUUUCCCAUGGAAAAUUUCCGGAAGAAAUGUACCGUAAAUUUAAUGGAAAGUUUCUGACCCUUUGCAACCCUCCUUACCCCUAAUGUCAGAGUCACUCGUACUCCCCUGGCCACUCCUAUAGGGGAAAUUCAUGGGUGAAUGGGUUUUUAGGAUAAACGGCAAAAAUAAGGUCUGAGGUUAAAGAUCUCCUAAACCUGUGUUUACCACAGACCUUAUUUUCUGUUUAUCCAAAACCCAGCAGAUCCGACACCUUACACUUGAUUACAGCUGCACUACAGGGUUUGACAGGCCGUUAGCUUAAAUUAAGACACAGCGGAGCUGGCGAGAGAUAUGGCUCAGAAAACAUUCCUCAAUCCAGGGAUGAGAAAUUGCGUUGUACUCGGAAUUGUUCCAUUAUCCCAACUGUUACAGCGAGAUGAUUGAACAUAGCUGCCGGAAAUAGCAGUAAUUCAAUCUUCUCGGUGUAACAGUUGUGAUAACGGGACAUUUWAAAAAAAUCAACACUCACAGCCGACGAAGAUAUUAACAUUUUAUAUUCAUCCAAUGUCUGGCAUGUUUUUGGAUGACGUGAUAACAUCAUCACUGCUCAUGCUUCUCCCUGUACACACUGACUGCUAGCGAGCAUGUGUAAACCGGAUGCAAUCCAGAUCUGUCCAAAAUAAUCCCAAUGCGUUUCUAUGGGUUUACAAUGGACCUAAACUUGUCGCCUGCCUUCCUACCUUUGUUAGGUCGAAGACAUGAGCAUCUCCUCAUUAUAUAAAGAUCUCUGUAUGGAGGUAAAUCAUUGACAUAAUGAUUUGAGUGUGUAGAAUAGAUUUGUAGUUGUAAACAMAAUUUGCAAGUGUGUAACUGAUCAGUUGUGAACAUGAAAUAAUAAUCUGUAGUUGUGAUCGCAUUCGCAAAUGUAUUAUUUAUUCUGUACACCUGCGCAUGUCAAUUUUGUGUGCUCAGACUUUUGGCAGUGCUUUAGCGCCCUACCGUGACAAAAAUAUUUGUAGAUGUGCAAACAACAAUUACUAAGGAGAGAGAGAGCAGGAGUUCUUGGAGGGACCUGUUUCUUCUAACCAAUCAGAUGAGGUUUUUAUAGACCAGCAUACUCUACGCUGGUUGGUUGGUGACAGCUCACAUGGACUGUGAUCGUCUGACGCAACCCCAUGUCAAUCACGACGUGUAUUACUAGGUUACCACUGAGACUGCUUGCACAAAGUCCACCAAAGAAACCCAACUGUUAGCUGUCAUGGCAGGCUGAAAUCCACUCCCGAAAGGACCCCGUCAGCUCCACAAUGCCCCGGGGGAUGCGAAGGACAUCCAGAACACUCUGGCAAAAGCAUCAACACCAUUGAAAACCCAGUCAGCAAGCCUCAGCGGAGAACCUGAAGAAUAUCUUCUCACUCCAACAUCAGAGAAUUGCUGCACAAGGCUCUGCAGAUGGACAAGACGGGCGGGCGGGCAGGAAGAUACAAACCCCGGAGGCUUCUGUGAAAGUCGAUCAAAUAAAGCAAUUUGGAGAGCCUGACACAGAAUUGAAGGUCCAGAAGAUCCAACAUGCACCUGGUUUGCAUCCCAGUAUUGUGUUAAUUGUUUUCACAGCCCUGUAAGUAAUGAGACUUCAAGACUGUGACCAUACAAUUAGAAUUAACAUUACUAUUCAUGUGUGGGCUACUAUGCCAUCUAUCUGGAGUUAGGGUGACCACAAGUCCCUGAUUGUGCGGACAGUCCCACAUUUUGGUCCUUUGUCCUGCAACUAAACAAUCAUGUCCCGCAUUUUAUCAACAAAUUCAAACACCACCAAUUUCACUUUUUGUUGUUGUUGAUUAGUCCUGUAUUUCAGUCAGACAUUCCAACCGGUCUCUUGCAUGCACGUUGCACUGAUGAAAACAUAUACAGUACCAGUCAAAAGUUUGGACACACCUACUCAUUCAAGGGUUUCUUUAUUUUUUACUA